rnacentral:rRNA from 1 species
GACGAACGCUGGCGGCGUGCUUAACACAUGCAAGUCGAACGGAAAGGCCCUGCUUUUGUGGGGUGCUCGAGUGGCGAACGGGUGAGUAACACGUGAGUAACCUGCCCUUGACUUUGGGAUAACUUCAGGAAACUGGGGCUAAUACCGGAUAGGAGCUCCUGCUGCAUGGUGGGGGUUGGAAAGUUUCGGCGGUUGGGGAUGGACUCGCGGCUUAUCAGCUUGUUGGUGGGGUAGUGGCUUACCAAGGCUUUGACGGGUAGCCGGCCUGAGAGGGUGACCGGCCACAUUGGGACUGAGAUACGGCCCAGACUCCUACGGGAGGCAGCAGUGGGGAAUAUUGCACAAUGGGCGGAAGCCUGAUGCAGCAACGCCGCGUGCGGGAUGACGGCCUUCGGGUUGUAAACCGCUUUCGCCUGUGACGAAGCGUGAGUGACGGUAAUGGGUAAAGAAGCACCGGCUAACUACGUGCCAGCAGCCGCGGUGAUACGUAGGGUGCGAGCGUUGUCCGGAUUUAUUGGGCGUAAAGGGCUCGUAGGUGGUUGAUCGCGUCGGAAGUGUAAUCUUGGGGCUUAACCCUGAGCGUGCUUUCGAUACGGGUUGACUUGAGGAAGGUAGGGGAGAAUGGAAUUCCUGGUGGAGCGGUGGAAUGCGCAGAUAUCAGGAGGAACACCAGUGGCGAAGGCGGUUCUCUGGGCCUUUCCUGACGCUGAGGAGCGAAAGCGUGGGGAGCGAACAGGCUUAGAUACCCUGGUAGUCCACGCUGUAAACGGUGGGUACUAGGUGUGGGGUCCAUUCCACGGGUUCCGUGCCGUAGCUAACGCUUUAAGUACCCCGCCUGGGGAGUACGGCCGCAAGGCUAAGACUCAAAGGAAUUGACGGGGCCCCGCACAAGCGGCGGAGCAUGCGGAUUAAUUCGAUGCAACGCGUAGAACCUUACCUGGGUUUGACAUGGAUCGGGAGUGCUCAGAGAUGGGUGUGCCUCUUUUGGGGUCGGUUCACAGGUGGUGCAUGGCUGUCGUCAGCUCGUGUCGUGAGAUGUUGGGUUAAGUCCCGCAACGAGCGCAACCCUUGUUCACUGUUGCCAGCACGUUAUGGUGGGGACUCAGUGGAGACCGCCGGGGUCAACUCGGAGGAAGGUGGGGAUGACGUCAAGUCAUCAUGCCCCUUAUGUCCAGGGCUUCACGCAUGCUACAAUGGCUGGUACAGAGAGUGGCGAGCCUGUGAGGGUGAGCGAAUCUCGGAAAGCCGGUCUCAGUUCGGAUUGGGGUCUGCAACUCGACCUCAUGAAGUCGGAGUCGCUAGUAAUCGCAGAUCAGCAACGCUGCGGUGAAUACGUUCCCGGGGCU